rnacentral:rRNA from 1 species
UACAGAGGUCCCGAGCGUUGUUCGGAUUCACUGGGCGUAAAGGGUGCGUAGGUGGUUAGGUAAGUCCGAUGUGAAAUCUCCAGGCUCAACCUGGAAAUGGCAUUGGAUACUAUUUAGCUUGAGGAGUGGAGGGGGGACUGGAAUUCUCGGUGUAGCAGUGAAAUGCGUAGAUAUCGGGAGGAACACCUGAGGCGAAGGCGGGCUACUGGGCCGAUACUGACGCUGAGGCGCGAAAGCCAGGGGAGCAAACGGG